rnacentral:rRNA from 1 species
GUCGAGCGAGCUUGCCUAGAUGAUUUUAGUGCUUGCACUAAAUGAAACUAGAUACAAGCGAGCGGCGGACGGGUGAGUAACACGUGGGUAACCUGCCCAAGAGACUGGGAUAACACCUGGAAACAGAUGCUAAUACCGGAUAACAACACUAGACGCAUGUCUAGAGUUUGAAAGAUGGUUCUGCUAUCACUCUUGGAUGGACCUGCGGUGCAUUAGCUAGUUGGUAAGGUAACGGCUUACCAAGGCAAUGAUGCAUAGCCGAGUUGAGAGACUGAUCGGCCACAUUGGGACUGAGACACGGCCCAAACUCCUACGGGAGGCAGCAGUAGGGAAUCUUCCACAAUGGACGAAAGUCUGAUGGAGCAACGCCGCGUGAGUGAAGAAGGGUUUCGGCCCGUAAAGCUCUGUUGGUAGUGAAGAAGGAUAGAGGUAGUAACUGGCCUUUAUUUGACGGUAAUUACUUAGAAAGUCACGGCUAACUACGUGCCAGCAGCCGCGGUAAUACGUAGGUGGCAAGCGUUGUCCGGAUUUAUUGGGCGUAAAGCGAGUGCAGGCGGUUCAAUAAGUCUGAUGUGAAAGCCUUCGGCUCAACCGGAGAAUUGCAUCAGAAACUGUUGAACUUGAGUGCAGAAGAGGAGAGUGGAACUCCAUGUGUAGCGGUGGAAUGCGUAGAUAUAUGGAAGAACACCAGUGGCGAAGGCGGCUCUCUGGUCUGCAACUGACGCUGAGGCUCGAA